rnacentral:rRNA from 1 species
GACGAACGCUGGCGGCGUGCUUAAUACAUGCAAGUCGAACGGAAUGUCCCUGCACUUGUGGUGUGCUCGAGUGGCGAACGGGUGAGUAACACGUGAGUAACCUGCUCUGUACUUUGGGCUAACUUCAGGAAACUGGCGCUAAUACCGGAUAGGAGAUCCUGCUGUUUGGUUUGGGUUGGAAAGUUUCGGCGGAUGGGGAUGUACGCGCGGCUUUUCAGCUUGUUGGUGGGGUAGUGGCUGACCAAGGCUUUGACGGGUAGCCGGCCUGAGAGGGUGACCGGCCACAGUGGGACAGAGGUACCGCCAGGACUCCUACGGGAGGCAUCAGUGGGGAAUAGUGCGCGAUGGGCGGAAGCCGUAUGCAGCAACGCCGCGUGGUAGAUGACGGCUUUCGGGGUGUAAAACGCUUGAGCGUGUGACGAAGCGUGAGUGACGGUAACGGGUAAAGAAGCAACGGCUAACUACGUG